UCAGGUCAUCUUGUGGUACUCAUUAACAUUCUUUGCGAAAUACAUCUCACCGUAGGUGAGCCUAUCAGAGAACAACAACUGAGAUGGUGGUUGUUCCAUAGCUUGGACUUCUUACUGACUGCAAUAAUCAGCAAAAUAAUAUUCUGCAAAUCCUGGUGUCUUUUGAUCAUGGAGCUAAACACACAUACUUGUCUCAGGAGUCAGAGACAUGGAAGAGGUAUUCAGGAAAAGGCGGAAUGACUACAGGCCCAAACGUUGCUCCAUGCCAACAAGGUGAGUCAGCAGAUUGGUGGCUGUAAUUGUGUCAGCUGCAAAAAGUCAUCUUUCUUACCAAUACCAUCCAAAUCUCACAAGAAUCUCCCUUGUGGCCCAUCCUAAAC